UCUGUAGCAAUACAGAUGGCGCACGGCGCACGGGUGCGUAACACGUGGGUAAUCUGCCCUUCGAUGGGGAAUAACUCCGGGAAACCGAAGCUAAUUCCGCAUAACAUUCCUUGAACUUCGGUUUGGGGACUCAAAGCCGUAAGGCGUCGGAGGAGGAACCCGCGCACGAUUAGCUAGUUGGUAGGGUAACGGCCUACCAAGGCUUUGAUCGUUAGCUGGUCUGAGAGGAUGGCCAGCCACACUGGAACUGAGACACGGUCCAGACUCCUACGGGAGGCAGCAGUGGGGAAUCUUGCACAAUGGGCGAAAGCCUGAUGCAGCGACGCCGCGUGGGGGAUGAAGCUUUUCGGAGUGUAAACCCCUUUCGACCCGGACGAAUACCUCGCAAGAGGGGUGACGGUACGGGUAUAAGAAGCCCCGGCUAACUACGUGCCAGCAGCCGCGGUAAGACGUGGGGGGCCAGCGUUGUUCGGAAUUACUGGGUGUAAAGGGUCAGUAGGCGGUGUGGCAAGUCGGGAGUGAAAUCUCUGGGCUCAACCCAGAGACUGCUUCCGAAACUGCUGUGCUAGAGUGUGGGAGAGGCGCGUGGAAUUGCAGGUGUAGCGGUGAAAUGCGUAGAUAUCUGCAGGAACACCCGUGGCGAAAGCGGCGCGCUGGACCACAACUGACGCUGAAUGACGAAAGCUAGGGGAGCAAACAGGAUUAGAUACCCUGGUAGUCCUAGCCCUAAACGAUCAGGACUUGGGGUGCCGCACGUUCGUGCGUCGUCCCGGAGCUAACGCGUUAAGUCCUGCACCUGGGGAGUACGGUCGCAAGACUGAAACUC
rnacentral:rRNA from 1 species